rnacentral:rRNA from 1 species
UACGUAGGUGGCGAGCGUUGUCCGGAUUUACUGGGCGUAAAGAGCGCGCAGGCGGUCGUACAAGUCGCGUGUGAAAGCCCCCGGCUCAACUGGGGAGGGUCACGCGAUACUGUUCGACUCGAAGGCAGGAGAGGGAAGCGGAAUUCCCGGUGUAGUGGUGAAAUGCGUAGAUAUCGGGAGGAACACCAGUGGCGAAGGCGGCUUCCUGGCCUGUUCUUGACGCUGAGGCGCGAAAAGCGUGGGGGAGCAAACAGGG